rnacentral:rRNA from 1 species
CCUACGGGUGGCUGCAGUAAGGAAUAUUGGUCAAUGGACGAAAGUCUGAACCAGCCAUGCCGCGUGAAGGAUGAAGGUCCUCUGGAUUGUAAACUUCUUUUAUAUGGGAAGAAAUCCACUUUUUCUUGAGUGGUUGACGGUACCAUAGGAAUAAGCACCGGCUAACUCCGUGCCAGCAGCCGCGGUAAUACGGAGGGUGCAAGCGUUAUCCGGAUUCACUGGGUUUAAAGGGUGCGUAGGAGGGCAGGUAAGUCAGUGGUGAAAUCCUCAAGCUU